rnacentral:rRNA from 1 species
AUUUUGAGAGUGUAAAACAAANNAUUUGGCGGUGUUUCAUUCAAUUAGGGGAUCCUGUAAUUUAAUUUGAUAGUCCACAAUUUAUAAAUCUAGUAUUUGAAAAUUAUCAAUAAAUGUAUUGCCGUAUUAUAGUCUUUAAUAAAAAUAUUAUAAUAACUAUAUAUAUAUAUAUAUAUAUAUAACUAUCACAGGUAAAAUAUUGUUUAUAUACUAGUAUUAAUGGGAUACUAUAAUUUAAGAGAUCAUAUUAAUAUUAGAAUAAAGGUAUUAAAAAAUUGGCACCUACAUAGUAAUUAAGUUAAAUAAAAAUAAUGAAUAAGAAC